GCUAUUUUUGUUUCUCUGGACUUUUAAGGGUUAUUCAAAAUGCACAGAGGAUGAUGCCAGGAUGACAGGCUCUAGAGUCAGAAGACCUGAAAAGUCUGGUCUCCAUUUAUUGCAUGUAGGACUGUAACAGUGUGGUCCCCAAGAAAAGGGGAGAUUCCAGGUUCCCUGCCUCACCCAAAUUAGGGUGGAGCUGAGCAGAGUGGAGAAGAAUCUGGAGGAGAUACUGAAUAGGAAGGAAGCAGGAUGGGGAGCCAGAAGGGCACCCGUGGAAGGCACACGGAACAGAGAGACAUGAAGAAGCUUUCUGCUGUUUCUUGGCCCUGGACUGUUUGAAACAGAUGUGACAGCAUGGUUACUGAAGCAAGCUUCGUCUGAAUCCAUAAAAGAGACGAAGAAGCAAUGAAAUCUGGACUGGCCUCGAAGGUCCACAAAGCCUGUCAUUACAGGUGAUGGGCAACGGGUCCUCUCUGACACACUGAGGGGAUGAGCUUCAAGACUACCACCAUCGAUUCUGUAGCUAGAAAAUCUGAGAACAACCCAAAGCUUUCACUUGCACCCUGGGACUUAGAGGACACAUGUGGAGAAGAGAUCUAUAGAGACACUUGGAAGAGAAACAUGGAUGAGCGAUUCAUGGGGAGGCUGUGGCUCUUGGCAGAGACAAUGGCAGGCAUUAUCUUGAUGUGGUCUACUUUAAAUGUUCAGUCUCUCCUUAUGUUUCAGGUCUCUGGGACCUAUCAAAAUCUUUUUUGUGAUUUUUCCAGCAGAAGGUACCUCAGACAACCUACUUCAACCCAAGUUGCUUUAGGUUGUUGUUGAAAGAUUCUAAGAUAUGGCCCUCCCUGGGGGCACUAGAGUUAGGGUGCCGUUCUGCAAACUAGCCACAAACUAGCUGCAGCCACUUCAGUGAGAGUUUGAUCCCCCUCCCCAUGGUGGGGGGUGGGGAG